AAAGACCGACGCACAAAUUAAGAAUGGACCAUUCUUUUAACUCAGUCAUUUAUCCAAACUCGAGACAUUCGCCAGGAAAUCUAUCGAAAAUUUCCCAGAACCAUUUUUUCACUUAUAUUCUAUAAUACUGGUAAAAUCGAGACGUAAAAGGAGAACUUGAGAACAAGUCAUUCUGCUUUCCCCUCUCAAGUUUGAGCCUGAACUACUUGGGCUCGCUUAUCGUCACUUCCGGGGAUCGAACUGUGAAUCCCGGAAACUGCACGCGCCGAGCCGGGAAGCUUCGUCCAGCGGUCGUGUUGCCAUGGGCCGGAGGAGAGCCCCGGCCGCCUGAGUGCUGCAAAAUUCGGGGUCAAAAGUCAGAUAAGUUUUGCAGGAGGGACGCCUCAGCCGGGUUUUGAAGGAUGAGUUGGAGUUUCUGCCAAGCUGAGUAGCAGGCCCUCCUCCUGGCAAGGCCCAGAACACAAAGUUGCACACAAGUGAACUCAAUGAUGGCUAUGAUUGGGGUCGUCUUAAUCUUCAGUCAGUGACUGAACAGAGCU
rnacentral:lncRNA from 10 species